AUGUGUGUUGCUUUUGUUUUUUUUUUGACGAUCAAGUGGUGGACGUUUGAAGUGGACAUUUGAAAGUGUUGUCAAGAACUUUUGUUAAACUGUGAUAUUCAUGCGAUUAUAAACUGCUAAUAAUAUUUUGUAUUUCCUUUAAUUUAUGUUUGAUUUGCUUAUAAAAAACUCAAACCUACGACUAAUCCCAUUUUAAAUUUUGCGCGCUCAAAAGAAAAGCAUCGAAUUUUUCAGGUGUUUUAUACCACUUUCAGCAAAGAAAGAACACUGAAAAAAUUAAAUCAAAAGAAUCAAAGCUAAUAUGAAAUAAAAUGUACCAAAAGAAGUACAACUUAAAUGGCGACAAGCUCAAAAGCAAAGUAAAAAAUGUCUUACAAGUUUUAAAAUUUUUUCUAUAAAUAGUUUUUAUUUUUUUUUUUCAAGCCAAGAUCCGUGCAGAAUUUCAUUUUAAUUUUGAUUGAAAGUUUCACAAAAUCUUUAUAAAAAAAUCAAUUAAUUUUACGAGAAUUAAAAUUCUAAAAUUUUUUUGCGUUCCAAAAAAUCAUCAAAUUCAAAAGCGAUAUUGAAAAUUUUGCUUUCUUUUGAGAAACUCUGAAUAAAAGAAAGUCUUUUUAUUUAACGAGAAAGUAAAAUUAAAUUUUUUUAAUCCGAAUUACAUCAGAAAAUUAUUUGAUUUCACACGAAUUGAUUUUUUUUAAUUUUACGCUCAUGGCAGAUUCAAGUUAAAGUGAAUUAUUUCAGCGGAGUUAAAAGCAAAAUUUUUUUCGGCGUUCAAUUUAAAAAAAGUAAAGUUAUAAAAUUUUUUUAAUUCCGGAGUUAAAAGUGUGCUUUUAUUUUGCUCUAAUUGCAUUACAAAAAUCGUUAAAUUUUACGUGAACUGAUUUUUUUACUUCAUGGAGCCAGAUUCAAUCCCAGCAAAUCUUUCCAAUUUCCCUCAAUUGAAAAUUUCAAUGUGUUGUUUGUUCCAGACUCCAGUUAAAAAAAUCAGUUUCAAUCCCAACAAAUCUUUCCAUUUUGCUUCAAUUGAAAUUUUCAAAAUGUUUUUCGUUCCAGACUCCUUUAGAAAAUUAAAUAAUUUGACAGAAAAUAAAUAGUCCAAAAAAAAUUCCCUGCGGCCGCAUUCAGAAAAACAUUCAUGGGAAUAAAAUGUGUUUAUAUUUUUUUUCAUACCGGAAAAUCAUUUAAUUUUACGGGAAUUGAAAAUUUUAUUUAGAAAUCCAAUUGAUUGUUAAGGAACGGAAAUUUAAUUUUUUUCGAUUUGACUAUUUCAUUUUCUUAUGCCUUUAUCUUCAUGAUUAAACCUCGUUUGAAAAGGUUAUUAACUUUAAAUUUACUCGAUAGUUGCUAGACUUUAACUUAGCAUGAAUUGAAAUAUUCGUCACUCUGCUAAGAAGAAAAAAAUAUAAUACAUAAAAAUUUAAGAAAAUAGGUAGCGCCAGUAGAGCAAAAAAAAACAGCAAUGUAUUUUAAUUUUUGCUUUAAGACCCUAGAAUAUCAAAAUCUAUAAAAAUUGCUUAGAGCUACUUAAACAAAAUUUGCAAAUUCGGAAAAAAAUAAAAAAUUUAAAAACAGAAAAAAAAAUAAUAUAAUAAAAAUAAAAAAUAAUAAUAAAAUAAUAAAAGAAAAAUAAAUAAAAUAAAAUUAAAAAUGUAUAAAAAAAUUAAAAAAAUAUAAAAAAAAUAAAAAAAUUACGACCAUACUGCUGCUACCUGCUUAAGGUGCUUUGUAAUAUACAUAGCUAAUGAUUUGUAACGGAAAAUUCUAAUUUGAAAACUGUGUUACAAACCAUUAAAGGAAAAUUGAUUAUCCAAAUUUAAAUUUGGUAGUACUCUAUCGAAUCGAUGCCCCUUUCACCAAAAGAAUUUAAUUACUUACUUUUCUUCCUCUCUACUUCAUAUCUGCAAUGUAAAUUAGUUAUAGCUAUGUAAAUUACUUAUAUGUAUGUGUGCACAUAUGCACAUACGAUUUACCACCAACCGCUUGUAUGCGGCAUUUUGAUUUAUGAUUUGUUUUGAUUGUGAGCUUUGCUUUGAUUUCUAAUAGCAUUUUUUGACUUUAUUUUUACUGCUAUCUGAUUUAUGGCUUAAGUCAAACUCAAGCCACAUAAUUCCAAUUUUGUAUGCAUUGCCAUUGUUCCUACAUACAUACAUAUGUACGUGAUUUUACUCACAUAAUUUACUCUACAUACAUAAGUCUUCUAAAGCCCUUGUAAUACCUUACGCCAAGCGAACGAGCAUUUCUAAUUCUUUAUCACUGGAUCUACACAAGUACAGGUAAAAUCGCUGGCAAUUGCUAAUUACAGUUCCGCUACCACAAAAAUAAAUAAAUAAAUGAGCGCGUGAAAAAUAAACAAGAAAAAACUGUCAAUAACAAAAGCUGUUCAUUCAAUUUGUUUCUCCUAUUUCGGUUGCCGAAUCGCACAAAACCAGUUUCCACUAAUUUGGUCUACGACACUUUGCAUUGACAUAUGAAAUUCCAUUACAUACCAAACUGUCAGCUUUAAAUAUUUUCGCCAAUUUCUAUAUUUCAUGCGCGAUACAAAGAAUUAUUUUUGGAUUUGCUAUGAUGCGUGACUUGUGUUUUGUGAGCGCAUAAUUUUCUAUAAAUACACCCACAUCCGGACAAUUAAAGCUCUUGAGUGUGCACCUGAAUAGAAAUUUCAAAUCAUUUCAUGUCAGGAAUUUCCAGAAAUCAAUUUUUUUGCACAAAGUUAUUUAAACAUUGAAGUUAUGGCUUAUGCGGAUUUUUUCAAAAAUUAUUAAAUUGUGUUAGGUGAUGAAAAGAGCUUAUAAUUUUUAAAACCAAUGCAGAUAUCUUAAAUCUUUCCUUUGUUGAGUUUUUGAAUUGUGUUUUUUUGUGCGUUUUAUACACAAUAAUAUAAAAAAUAUGAAAAAUAUUCAGAGUGAGCAGAAAGCUCACUCACUUCACCUCAAGCCAAAAAAAUGAUAUAUUUCAAUUCAAGCCAUUAGACAAACGUCAAUAAGCUGUUAAUUAAAACUGCGUCACAGUUUGAGGCGCUCUGUAACAACCUUCCUUCAUUCCUGCCUACAAUGCAACAACAAUGUAUCACAUUUAAAUUGCAUGCAGACGUUCAACCGCUUGCUCGAAUUUCGCAUUAAUGACGUUAGAAAUUUGAAGUGUUUACUUAAGCAGAAGACGAAGAAAAAGCGAAAAAUUGCUUAUUAUUGCUUUGCUACGAAAAUUAAAUUUUCUCUUUUUUCAAUGUUUUUUUGUAAAAAAGUUUUCAGCAAACAAGCAGCAAACAGCAUUUUUAAGUGUCCACUUCAUUCAAUGUGCGCCCAAAGCAAUAAUAAAAAUUAAUUAUGUGCAAAAAAAAAGAAGAAAAAAAAAAAACCAAAUUAAAGUUGAACGCCCAGUGCUUGUGGGAUUCACUCAGUUACCAAAAAUUAAAUAUUCAUGCCCAUUAAAAACAAUAAUAAUAAUAAUAAAAGCAAACACAUAAAAAUUACUCUCCAUAUUUUACUUGCAGAUUUAUCACAAACUUUUCGUACAACGCCAAAUUUGUAAAACUCAAGUAUCCCCAAAAUAUAAUAUAAAAAUACUACCACAUAUUAAUAACGGUUAAAUUUCGAAAACGCAUAACAAUGAAAAUCAACCAAAUUUACACGCUCAGCAGUAAGUUUUUGUCGAUGCUAAAGCGAUAAGCCAUUUAAUGAAAAUUGUUUGAUUGCCAUUGUGGCUGGUUGGCUUGAUGGUGCUUGGUGGUACUUUAUGGCGCAGAUGCUGGGCGCCCAACUUGUUUGUAUUUAUAACCGCCAGACAGCUGUGCAACAACCCAACUGAUGGUGGUGAUACUAAAAUAUUAAAAUAAGUGAAAGUUAUGAAGAGAUUAUGUUUAUAUACAAAGUUGAAGAAAAGGAACAGUGCCAUCUUCUCAUCAAAACAGUGCCAAAGUUAUUUAAGUACAAUAUCUACCUAAAAAAUAUAAUAUUAAAAAAAAAAAAAAAAUAUUGCCAUGAUUAAAUGUUUAAUGUAGAUCCACAGUAUGAUAGUCAUGAUUUAAUCACUCGAC